rnacentral:rRNA from 1 species
AUGCAGCGGUCCGACAUCGAGAAGGCCCAAGAGACGGCGGAGAACAUGGCCGCCGCAACCGAGGCUGCUCGGACCCAGCACCAGGCAGCGCUGAACUCCCAGGAGGAGGAUCUUGCCAAACGCGAGGCGGACAUCGACGCCGAACUCCACGCCCAGGACGAGGAGGUGGAGAAAAUUGUCGCGCAGCGGACCCAAGAGCUGGAGCAGAGGCACAGGGAGGCGCUCGAUGCCCAGGCUCUGGUUCAUGCCGGCAAGGUGAAGGAGCUGGAGGACGAGCGGGACGGGCUGAAGGACCAGACCCUGCAGUUGGCCGAGGAGAAGAACACGCUCAACGGUGCCCUGGCGGAGGCGCAAGGCACUGUCCUUGGCAAGGCUGAGCAGCUCUCCAAAGCCAACGACUCCAUCAAGGACCUGAAGAUGAAGCUGGAGGGCCUUGAGGGGAUUCUCUCGGAGACCAAGGCCCGGGAAGGGACCCUGGCCAAGGAGCUGGAGACCGAGAAGCAGCUGCGGAAGAACGAGACCGCCUACCACAAAGAUUUCAUGGAUGGUCAGAACCGCUGGGUCGGCCUUCUCGUGGACGUCGCCGGCAGGAUCACCGUGCAGCUUGCUACCAUGGGGAUGCCAAACGUGAGGUACGCCCCAGAGCGCAGCGGGACUACCAACGCUAAGCUGACCCUGUUCUUCGAGGGUGUUCUCGGGGCCCUGGAGCAGUUUCACUCCAACAUUGCGGCUUUAUUGGCCGACGGGAACCGAAGGCUCUGCCGGGGUGCCAUGACCAAGGUCCUCACCAAGGUGGCGUACUGGAAACCCACCCUUGACUUCGAUGCCGCGCUGGAGAGCCUGCCGGAGGGUACUGACCUCGUGCCGCUCAAGGAGCGUAUCAAGCCCAUCAUCAGCCUCAUCGACGGAAUUCAAAGGGUGGAGGGCCAGCGCCGGGACUAG